UGGGGAAUAUUGGACAAUGGGCGGAAGCCUGAUCCAGCAACGCCGCGUGAGGGAUGACGGCCUUCGGGUUGUAAACCUCUUUCAGUACCGACGAAGCGGAAGUGACGGUAGGUACAGAAGAAGCACCGGCCAACUACGUGCCAGCAGCCGCGGUAAUACGUAGGGUGCGAGCGUUGUCCGGAAUUAUUGGGCGUAAAGGGCUCGUAGGCGGUUUGUCGCGUCGGGAGUGAAAACACUGGGCUUAACUCAGUGCUUGCUUCCGAUACGGGCAGACUAGGGGCAUGCAGGGGAGAACGGAAUUCCUGGUGUAGCGGUGAAAUGCGCAGAUAUCAGGAGGAACACCGGUGGCGAAGGCGGUUCUCUGGGCAUGUCCUGACGCUGAGGAGCGAAAGUGUGGGGAGCGAACAGGAUUAGAUACCCUGGUAGUCCACACCGUAAACGUUGGGCGCUAGGUGUGGGGCCUAUUCCAUGGGUUCCGUGCCGCAGCUAACGCAUUAAGCGCCCCGCCUGUGGAGUACGGCCGCAAGGCUAAAACUCAAAUGAAUUGACGGGGUCAUAGCUGUUUCCU
rnacentral:rRNA from 1 species